rnacentral:rRNA from 1 species
AUAUCGGAACAUACCCUAGAGUGGGGGAUAACGUAGCGAAAGUUACGCUAAUACCGCAUACGAACUCAGGUUGAAAGUGGGGGAUCGCAAGACCUCAUGCUCAUGGAGUGGCCGAUAUCUGAUUAGCUAGUUGGUAGGGUAAAAGCCUACCAAGGCGACGAUCAGUAGCUGGUCUGAGAGGACGACCAGCCACACUGGAACUGAGACACGGUCCAGACUCCUACGGGAGGCAGCAGUGGGGAAUUUUGGACAAUGGGCGCAAGCCUGAUCCAGCAAUGCCGCGUGAGUGAAGAAGGCCUUCGGGUUGUAAAGCUCUUUUGUCAGGGAAGAAACGGUGGUUCCUAAUACGGACUACUAAUGACGGUACCUGAAGAAUAAGCACCGGCUAACUACGUGCCAGCAGCCGCGGUAAUACGUAGGGUGCAAGCGUUAAUCGGAAUUACUGGGCGUAAAGCGUGCGCAGGCGGUUAUAUAAGUCAGAUGUGAAAUCCCCGGGCUCAACCUGGGAACUGCAUUUGAGACUGUAUGGCUAGAGUGUGUCAGAGGGGGGGUAGAAUUCCACGUGUAGCAGUGAAAUGCGUAGAUAUGUGGAGGAAUACCGAUGGCGAAGGCAGCCCCCUGGGAUAACACUGACGCUCAUGCACGAAAGCGUGGGGAGCAAACAGGAUUAGAUACCCUGGUAGUCCACGCCCUAAACGAUGUCUACUAGUUGUCGGGACUUAAUUGUCUUGGUAACGCAGCUAACGCGUGAAGUAGACCGCCUGGGGAGUACGGUCGCAAGAUUAAAACUCAAAGGAAUUGACGGGGACCCGCACAAGCGGUGGAUGAUGUUGGAUUAAUUCGAUGCAACGCGAAAAACCUUACCUACCCUUGACAUGGAAGGAAUCCCGAAGAGAUUUGGGAGUGCUCGAAAGAGAACCUUUACACAGGUGCUGCAUGGCUGUCGUCAGCUCGUGUCGUGAGAUGUUGGGUUAAGUCC